ensembl:lncRNA
UUUUUUUUUUAAAUGAAUCUUUCUCUGUGAUGUUGAGUGUUCUCAUUCUGAAAUACAGUAAUGGCACAUUGUAGAACAGAAUAGUCUGCUUUCUUUAGAACUUGUAUUGGUCAGUCGUGCUGAAAAAUUCUAGCUAAUGUUUAUUGAAACAACUGUAGAGCUGCACUUGCAUAGUGAUGGGUUUGCAGUGGAAAAAGCACUGAAAAAGGGGUGAUGGGAGAAGCUUUAUUCUCCCUAAAAUUCAUCUGUGUGCUCUCCUGUUUUUAAUCGCUUCAAGUGAAAAGUGCAAGUUAUACAGGAUGACUAGCAAGAGGAAAGAUUUAGAUUUGGUUUUAAAGUAAAACUGCAGUUUUGCUUAAGUUCAGUUUUUUCAUCACAUCUGAACGACGUAGAACAGUUAUUUAUUUAUCUACCAGAAUGCAGUUGUGAAAAGGCACUCUGAGCAUGGUGAGAGUGUGCAAGACCAGGACUUGAGCUCAUCUGUCUCUGGGUAUUUUGUGUUGUUUAGGGAUGGAAAAUAAUGAUAUUGCUUGCACGUAGAAAUGGGUUUAUAAGUAAAUGUGCAGUAGGUAAUCCCUAAUUUUGGCUGUCAGAAGAUGUAUUAAUAAAUUUAAGUAUGGAGAUUAAUCCAAUAUGAAAAGAACUGCAAAUCAUAGGAUCAUAGAAUUGCUCAGGUUGGAAAAGAUCAUCAAGUCCAACCACAGCCUAACCAUACUACCUGAACUCUAACAAUCCUCCGCUAAAUCAUGCCCCCGAGCAUCACAUCCAAAUGGUUUUUAAACACAGCCAGAAAUGGUGACUCAACCACCUCCCUCGGGAGCCUAUUCCAGUGUUUAAAGAGCCUAUUCCAGUGCAUAAUAUAAGGUGAGAGGAGAAAUGCCAUCAUCACUUACCUCCAUGAAAAUGAUCAUCAUUUGGCUUAUAGUGGACUGCAUGUAGAAGUCCCUAGCUAUCUGAUUAGACUAAUGAGGAAUUUCAGUUGGCUGGGUAGUGAGGUGCUCUGAAAGAAUUAGGUUGUAUUUCUGCUCUUGUCUUUGCCUCUGUGGGAAUUAGAAGUACAGCAUCUACAUUUAACUCAUCCUUCCUAAUACCUUUCUGUGGGUUGUAUUUUUGUUAGAUUAGAUUUUGAUACGAGCAAGGUGGGGAGACUUGUUCUGUUUUUGAGGUAGAUUAUCAUUAAGGACAACUUCUAGGGCACGUAAGCCAUAGGAACACAAUUUUUUUAAUGCUUUACCCUUGAUCCGAUUUUGAGUCAGGAGGAAAGCACAGUCCUAGCUUAUGUGCUUAAAAGAAAAUCUAACUGUAUAGCUGCUGCUGCUGCUUCUGAUGUUCUGAGGAAAAUGCUUAGAGUGCAGAGGGGUCAGCAUGCUCCCCAGCUGUCUGGCAGCUCGGAACUGGAGCUGCUGUUGUAUGUCUCUGUAUAUCAAAAGGAGUUUAAGGAGAUAGAUGUGCUUGUGCUCUUGGAUGCUUGGCUUCAAAAUCACAGAAUGGCUUGGGUUGGAGAAGACAUCAAAGAACAUCUAGUUCCAGCCUCCCUGCCACAGGCAGGGUUGCCAACCACUAAACCAACAUGCUAAAAGAAAAUGCUAUCACAUGCAUGGGCUUUCUUUCCUCUUGCCUUCCCUGUCUUUUGCUGAGAAAUCUAUGGUUAAAUCAUACCUCAAAUUUGAGCUGUUUCUGUAUACAUAAUGUUGACUCUAUGGGUAUUCAGAUGCAAGAUGUGUUUUUAGUGAGUGGUAAAUAAGCUUUUCAUAGGAGGAAAGUGUUUGCAGGAGUGAUGUUUGAGGCUAUGAACACCUGUCAAACAAAAGCCAAUAUGAAAGUCUUAGCAGCUUGAAAUUUAGUAGUUUCUCUUUGUAUUGCAUACUAUUGCUCGUUGAAAAUACGAGCAAGAACUGGGCAGAAACUGGUGAAGCAGCGAUCUUCAUGAAGUGCUCUCUGAAAGCACACGUAAUUGCUGCAGCUUUUCAGGUUUUUGUUGUUGUUGUUGUUAUUUGUUUAUUACUGUGUUUCAGUUUUUUAAUUGCUGGUGGUAAAGGACAGAAAGAAUCCUAGUUUUCUUUGUUUGGGGAAGGUGAUUUAUGCUUUUCACAAAGCAAUCUAUUACCAAUAAAUAAAAAUAUUCUCCUAAACU